rnacentral:pre_miRNA from 1 species
GAGACACCCCUAUGGGGCAAGACUUGCUUCAGUGAGGCUGUGCCUUCCUGCUCACUGAGUCUGCCCCUUGAGUGUGUUGCU